UACGUAGGGCGCAAGCGUUGUCCGGAAUUAUUGGGCGUAAAGAGCUCGUAGGUGGCUUGUUGCGUCUGCCGUGAAAGCCCGUGGCUUAACUGCGGGUCUGCGGUGGAUACGGGCAGGCUAGAGGCUGGUAGGGGCAAGCGGAAUUCCUGGUGUAGCGGUGAAAUGCGCAGAUAUCAGGAGGAACACCGGUGGCGAAGGCGGCUUGCUGGGCCAGUUCUGACGCUGAGGAGCGAAAGCGUGGGGAGCAAACAGG
rnacentral:rRNA from 1 species